rnacentral:rRNA from 1 species
UACCAGCACCCCGAGUGGUCGGGACGAUUAUUGGGCCUAAAGCAUCCGUAGCCGGUUCUACAAGUCUUCCGUUAAAUCCAACUGCUUAACAGGUGGGCUGCGGAAGAUACUAUAGAGCUAGGAGGCGGGAGAGGCAAGCGGUACUCGAUGGGUAGGGGUAAAAUCCGUUGAUCCAUUGAAGACCACCAGUGGCGAAGGCGGCUUGCCAGAAUGCGCUCGACGGUGAGGGAUGAAAGCUGGGGGAGCAAACCGG